rnacentral:rRNA from 1 species
CGAGGGGAAUUGAAACAUCUUAGUACCCUCAGGAAAAGAAAUCAAUAGAGAUUGCGUCAGUAGCGGCGAGCGAAAGCGCAAGAGGGCAAACCCAGUGCUUGCACUGGGGGUUGUAGGACUGCAAUGUGCAAGAGGUAAGUUUAGCAGAACAUUCUGGAAAGUAUAACCAUAGAGGGUGAUAGUCCCGUAUGCGAAAAACAAACCUUAGCUAGCAGUAUCCUGAGUAGGGCGGGACACGAGGAAUCCUGUCUGAAUCCGGGUCGACCACGAUCCAACCCUAAAUACUAAUACCAGAUCGAUAGUGCACAAGUACCGUGAGGGAAAGGUGAAAAGAACUGAGGUGAUCAGAGUGAAAUAGAACCUGAAACCAUUUGCUUACA